rnacentral:rRNA from 1 species
GACGAACGCUGGCGGCGUGCUUAACACAUGCAAGUCGAACGGUAACAGGCCGCAAGGUGCUGACGAGUGGCGAACGGGUGAGUAAUGCAUCGGAACGUGCCCAGUCGUGGGGGAUAACGCAGCGAAAGCUGCGCUAAUACCGCAUACGAUCUAUGGAUGAAAGCGGGGGACCGUAAGGCCUCGCGCGAUUGGAGCGGCCGAUGUCAGAUUAGGUAGGUGGUGGGGUAAAGGCCUACCAAGCCGACGAUCUGUAGCUGGUCUGAGAGGACGACCAGCCACACUGGGACUGAGACACGGCCCAGACUCCUACGGGAGGCAGCAGUGGGGAAUUUUGGACAAUGGGCGCAAGCCUGAUCCAGCCAUGCCGCGUGCGGGAAGAAGGCCUUCGGGUUGUAAACCGCUUUUGUCAGGGAAGAAAUCCUUUGGGCUAAUACCCCGGGGGGAUGACGGUACCUGAAGAAUAAGCACCGGCUAACUACGUGCCAGCAGCAGCCGCCG